UACGGAGGGAGCUAGCGUUGUUCGGAAUUACUGGGCGUAAAGCGCACGUAGGCGGCUUUGUAAGUUAGAGGUGAAAGCCCGGGGCUCAACCCCGGAAUUGCCUUUAAGACUGCAUCGCUUGAAUCCGGGAGAGGUGAGUGGAAUUCCGAGUGUAGAGGUGAAAUUCGUAGAUAUUCGCAAGAACACCAGUGGCGAAGGCGGCUCACUGGACCGGUAUUGACGCUGAGGUGCGAAAGCGUGGGGAGCAAACAGG
rnacentral:rRNA from 1 species